UAGGGAAUCUUCCACAAUGGACGCAAGUCUGAUGGAGCAACGCCGCGUGAGUGAAGAAGGUUUUCGGAUCGUAAAGCUCUGUUGUUGGUGAAGAAGGAUAGAGGCAGUAACUGGUCUUUAUUUGACGGUAAUCAACCAGAAAGUCACGGCUAACUACGUGCCAGCAGCCGCGGUAAUACGUAGGUGGCAAGCGUUGUCCGGAUUUAUUGGGCGUAAAGCGAGCGCAGGCGGAAUGAUAAGUCUGAUGUGAAAGCCCACGGCUCAACCGUGGAACUGCAUCGGAAACUGUCAUUCUUGAGUGCAGAAGAGGAGAGUGGAAUUCCAUGUGUAGCGGCGGAAUGCGUAGAUAUAUGGAAGAACACCAGUGGCGAAGGCGGCUCUCUGGUCUGCAACUGACGCUGAGGCUCGAAAGCAUGGGUAGCGAACAGG
rnacentral:rRNA from 1 species